AUUAUAUAAUUAAUUAUACCAUCUCUCAAAUGCAACAUUAAAAAUUUAUUCUGAUCUGGCAUUUUUGCACGCCAUUGUAAAUUAUAAAAUUGAACUAAUAGCAAUAAUUAUUAAUAUCCUAUUCUGUCUUGAAAAAAGUUUGGUAAUAAAAUGAAUAAUAAAAAAUAAGCAUAUAUUGCAAUUGUUUGUACUUAAAAUGCAAAAUUUUGGUAUAUUAAGAUACUAAAAUUAAAUAUAAUGCUGUAUAUUUUUUAAAAAUAUAAUUACAAUUCAUUUACAAUUUUUAAUUAAUGAAUAAACAAACAAAUACACGUAUGGAUGUAUGACACAUAAAUAAACUGUGUAUUAUAUAUACAUAAUUCAUAAUAUUUGUUUAUAUGUUUCAUAAAAAUAAUUCUAUAUAAGUUUAUUUACGAACUUAAAUAUUAUAUGUUAUAAUAAUGAAACUUCUAAUAAAAAAGAAAGACAGACAGGCUAUAAAAGCCAAAGGUAAAAACAUUACACAAAAUGAGAUGAAUCUGAUCUUGAUGACUAACAGCGACCAUGUAAUCUUUUUUAACUUGUUCUGAUUCGGAUAAUGACAUAAACAUCACAAAUAUUUCUGUAGCACAUUUACAUGAGAAUUUAAAAGUGUAAAAAACAGUUGGGAAUUUUCAUGUUUUUCUAUAACAAAACGGAUUAUGCGAAUAAGAUGAUUUUCGAUACCAAACAAGAAUAUAUCUAAAAGUUAUUUAAAAACUAGUAAAAAAAUAUAAAAUAUUCUUGUACACAUGUGAUACAUUUCAUGAUUAUACUACUGUAUAAUAGCUUUGCACAUUAUAUAUUUAUACAUAUAUCCGCUGCCUUUUAGAUAGAGCUAAAUAGAGCAAUAGAAAAUGGAAUAGAUUUAAAAUCAGAAUAGAAGAGCACCUGAAGGAUGAUAGGUCUGAAGAAGAAAUAAAAUUGAAAGGCUGAAAAACAAAGAAAAAAGACUUGGAAGAAAGUGAUCAUAAAAGUGAUAACAGUGAUGAAAACUGUUAUAUAGACUAGAAAAUACCUGCACUUAUAUUUAUAAAUUAUUGACUAAUCGAAAAGGUAGAAAAAGAAAUGUAUUUGAAUUAACUUUCUGUAAUUUUAUAAUUUUAUAAGUAGAUUUGAACCUAAUGAAUUUAUGUUAAUACAAGCAUGUAGAAUAGAACAUGAGUGAGUGUGGAGAAAAGAACAUUAUAAGAAAAAGAAUUAAGAGAAUCAAAAUGAAUGCAAUUCGUAUAAUGUAAUAAAUAUGUUUGAAUAUAGUGUACAGAAUCAGAGAGUAACAUGAAGAAAAAUAAUAAACCAAACCAAUUUAACCAAAAAUAAAAAUCCUGAUUGAAACUUUUACUUUAUGGAGUAAAAAUAAAAUAUUACAAAAUGAAAUCAAAUAUUGUUAGCAAUCACAAUAUAUAUUUUAAUAAUAAUAAAUAUGAUUAUAUACAGUCUUUUUUGGAUAUAAAGCACAAUGAACAAUAUGGCAACAUUGUUUUUAC